GAUGAACGCUGACAGAAUGCUUAACACAUGCAAGUCAACUUGAACUUCGGUUUGGGUGGCGGACGGGUGAGUAACGCGUAAAGAACUUGCCUCACAGCUAGGGACAACAUUUGGAAACGAAUGCUAAUACCUGAUAUUAUGAUUUUAGGGCAUCCUAGAAUUAUGAAAGCUAUAUGCGCUGUGAGAGAGCUUUGCGUCCCAUUAGCUAGUUGGAGAGGUAACGGCUCACCAAGGCGAUGAUGGGUAGCCGGCCUGAGAGGGUGAACGGCCACAAGGGGACUGAGACACGGCCCUUACUCCUACGGGAGGCAGCAGUGGGGAAUAUUGGACAAUGGACCAAGAGUCUGAUCCAGCAAUUCUGUGUGCACGAUGAAGUUUUUCGGAAUGUAAAGUGCUUUCAGUUGGGGAGAAAAAAAUGACGGUACCAACAGAAGAAGUGACGGCUAAAUACGUG
rnacentral:rRNA from 1 species